UUAAAUUGAAGAGUUUGAUCAUGGCUCAGAUUGAACGCUGGCGGCAGGCCUAACACAUGCAAGUCGAGCGGAAACGAGUUAUCAGAACCUUCGGGGGACGAU
rnacentral:rRNA from 1 species